rnacentral:ncRNA from 1 species
UAAAGGUUUGGUCCUGGCUUUUUUAUUAGUUAUUAGCAAAAUUAUACAUGCAAGAGUCAUCAUCCCUGUGAGAAUGCCCUACAAAUCGCCAAGAUCUAAAGGAGCCGGUNUCAAGCACACACACAGUAGCUCAUAACACCUUGCUCAGCCACACCCCCACGGGAAACAGCAGUAAUCAAAAUUAAGCAAUAAACGAAAGUUUGACUAAGUUAUGCUAUACUACUUUAGGGUUGGUAAAUCUCGUGCCAGCCACCGCGGUCAUACGAGUAACCCUAAUUAAUAAACUUCGGCGUAAAGAGUGUUAAAAAAAACAAAAAAAAUAAGAUUAAGUUUUAUCUAAGUCGUAAAAAACAACAGAUAAAAUUAAACUCAUAAACGAAAGUAAUCUUAACAUAUCUGAAUACACCAAAGCUAAGAUCCAAACUGGGAUUAGAUACCCCACUAUGCUUAGCCGUAAACACAGACAAUUUAAUAACAAAAAUUUUCGCCUGAGAACUACUAGCAACAGCUUAAAACUCAAAGGACUUGGCGGUGCUUUAAACCCACCUAGAGGAGCCUGUUCUAUAAUCGAUAAACCCCGAUACACCUCACCACUUCUUGCUAAUUCAGCUUAUAUACCGCCAUCUUCAGCAAACCCCACCAGGGAAUAAAAGUAAGCAUAACUAUAAUCAUAAAAACGUUAGGUCAAGGUGUAGCUAAUGAAGUGGAAAGAAAUGGGCUACAUUUUCUCCAUUUAAGAGAAUAUUAACAGUAAUCCUUAUGAAACUUAAAGAUUUAAGGAGGAUUUAGUAGUAAAUUAAGAAUAGAGAGCUUAAUUGAAUUAGGCCAUAAAGCACGCACACACCGCCCGUCACCCUCCUCAAAUAUUCACUCAAAUUUACCCAAAUUUCAACAGUAUAAGAGGAGACAAGUCGUAACAAGGUAAGCAUACUGGAAAGUGUGCUUGGAUAAGC